rnacentral:rRNA from 1 species
CCGCGAACGGGUGAGUAACACGUGGGUUACCUGCCUCGAUGACCGGGACAACCCGAGGAAACUCGGGCUAAUACCGGAUGUGCCCGCAAGGGGAAAGGAAGCUUCGGCCUCCGCAUUGAGAUGGGCCCGCGGCCCAUUAGCUUGUUGGUGAGGUAACGGCUCACCAAGGCUUCGAUGGGUAGCUGGUCUGAGAGGACGAUCAGCCACACUGGGAUUGAGAACGGCCCAG